rnacentral:rRNA from 1 species
CACGGGGGGAGCAAGCGUUGUUCGGAAUCACUGGGCGUAAAGGGCGUGUAGGCGGUCAGGUAAGUGGGACGUGAAAUCCCUCGGCUCACCCGAGGACCUGCGUCCCAAACUGCUUGACUUGAGUAUGGGAGAGGAUGAGGGAAUUCCUGGUGUAGCGGUGAAAUGCGUAGAUAUCAGGAGGAACACCGGUGGCGAAGGCGCUCAUCUGGCCCAAUACUGACGCUGAGGCGCGAAAGCUAGGGGAGCAAACGGG